rnacentral:tRNA from 18 species
GGGGCCAUAGCUCAGUUGGUAGAGCGCUUGCAUGGCAUGCAAGAGGUCGCCGGUUCGACCCCGGCUGGCUCCACCA